rnacentral:rRNA from 1 species
AUUGAACGCUGGCGGCAGGCCUAACACAUGCAAGUCGAGCGGAUGAAGGGAGCUUGCUCCUGGAUUCAGCAGCGGACGGGUGAGUAAUGCCUAGGAAUCUGCCUGGUAGUGGGGGAUAACGUCCGGAAACGGGCGCUAAUACCGCAUACGUCCUGAGGGAGAAAGUGGGGGAUCUUCGGACCUCACGCUAUCAGAUGAGCCUAGGUCGGAUUAGCUAGUUGGUGGGGUAAAGGCCUACCAAGGCGACGAUCCGUAACUGGUCUGAGAGGAUGAUCAGUCACACUGGAACUGAGACACGGUCCAGACUCCUACGGGAGGCAGCAGUGGGGAAUAUUGGACAAUGGGCGAAAGCCUGGUCCAGCCAUGCCGCGUGUGUGAAGAAGGUCUUCGGAUUGUAAAGCACUUUAAGUUGGGAGGAAGGGCAGUAAGUUAAUACCUUGCUGUUUUGACGUUACCAACAGAAUAAGCACCGGCUAACUUCGUG